rnacentral:rRNA from 1 species
GACGAACGCUGGCGGCGUGCCUAAUACAUGCAAGUUGAGCGCUGAAGGUUGGUACUUGUACCAACUGGAUGAGCAGCGAACGGGUGAGUAACGCGUGGGGAAUCUGCCUUUUAGCGGGGGACAACAUUUGGAAACGAAUGCUAAUACCGCAUAAAAACUUUAAACACAAGUUUUAAGUUUGAAAGAUGCAAUUGCAUCACUCAAAGAUGAUCCCGCGUUGUAUUAGCUAGUUGGUGAGGUAAAGGCUCACCAAGGCGAUGAUACAUAGCCGACCUGAGAGGGUGAUCGGCCACAUUGGGACUGAGACACGGCCAAAACUCCUACGGGAGGCAGCAGUAGGGAAUCUUCGGCGAUGGACGAAAGUCUGACCGAGCAACGCCGCGUGAGUGAAGAAGGUUUUCGGAUCGUAAAACUCUGUUGGUAGAGAAGAACGUUGGUGAGAGUGGAAAGCUCAUCAAGUGACGGUAACUACCCAGAAAGGGACGGCUAACUACGUG